UACGUAGGGUCCGAGCGUUGUCCGGAAUUACUGGGCGUAAAGAGCUCGUAGGCGGUUUGUCGCGUCGUCCGUGAAAACUUGGGGCUCAACCCCAAGCUUGCGGGCGAUACGGGCAGACUUGAGUACUGCAGGGGAGACUGGAAUUCCUGGUGUAGCGGUGAAAUGCGCAGAUAUCAGGAGGAACACCGGUGGCGAAGGCGGGUCUCUGGGCAGUAACUGACGCUGAGGAGCGAAAGCGUGGGUAGCAAACAGG
rnacentral:rRNA from 1 species